AUCGUGUUGGUGCUAGCCGUGUUGGUGCCAUUGUGUUGGCGCCAUCGUGUUGGUGCCAGCCAUGUUGGUGCCAUCGUGUUGGUGCUAGCCCCGUUGGUGCCAGCCGUGUUGGUGCCAUCGUGUUGGUGCCAUCGUGUUGGUGCCAUCGUGUUGAUGCUAGCCGUGUUGGUGCCAUCGUGUUGAUGCUAGCCAUGUUGGUGCCAUCGUGUUGAUGCUAAUGUGUUGGUGCUAGCCAUGUUGGUGCUACAUCGUGUUGAUGCUAGCCGUGUUGGUGCCAUCGUGUUGGUGCUAGCCAUGUUGGUGCCAUCGUGUUGGUGCCAUCGUGUUGGUGCCAGACGUGUUGGUGCCAUCGUGUUGGUGCCAUCGUGUUGGUGCUAGCCAUGUUGGUGCCAUCGUGUUGGUGCCAUCGUGUUGGUGCCAUCGUGUUGAUGCCAUCGGGUUGAUGCCAUCGUGUUGGUGCCAUCGUGUUGGUGCCAUC